rnacentral:rRNA from 1 species
UACAGAGGUCUCAAGCGUUGUUCGGAUUCAUUGGGCGUAAAGGGUGCGUAGGUGGCGCUGUAAGUCGAGUGUGAAAUUUCGGAGCUUAACUCCGAAACUGCAUUCGAUACUGCGGUGCUUGAGGACUGGAGAGGAGACUGGAAUUCAUGGUGUAGCAGUGAAAUGCGUAGAGAUCAUGAGGAAGACCAGUGGCGAAGGCGGGUCUCUGGACAGUUCCUGACACUGAGGCACGAAGGCCAGGGGAGCAAACGGG